UACAGAGGUCUCAAGCGUUGUUCGGAUUCAUUGGGCGUAAAGGGUGCGUAGGCGGCGCGGUAAGUCGGGUGUGAAAUCUCGGAGCUUAACUCCGAAACUGCAUUCGAUACUGCCGUGCUUGAGGACUGGAGAGGAGACUGGAAUUUACGGUGUAGCGGUGAAAUGCGUAGAUAUCGUAAGGAAGACCAGUGGCGAAGGCGGGGUCUCUGGACAGUUCCUGACGCUGAGGCACGAAAGCGUGGGGAGCAAACAGG
rnacentral:rRNA from 1 species